rnacentral:rRNA from 1 species
GACGAACGCUGGCGGCGUGCUUAACACAUGCAAGUCGAACGAUGAAGCUGGAGCUUGCUCUGGUGGAUUAGUGGCGAACGGGUGAGUAACACGUGAGUAACCUGCCCUGGACUCUGGGAUAACCCCGAGAAAUCGGAGCUAAUACCGGAUAGGACCUUGGAUCGCAUGAUCUGGGGUGGAAAGCUUUUCGGUCUGGGAUGGACUCGCGGCCUAUCAGCUUGUUGGUGAGGUAAUGGCUCACCAAGGCGUCGACGGGUAGCCGGCCUGAGAGGGUGACCGGCCACACUGGGACUGAGACACGGCCCAGACUCCUACGGGAGGCAGCAGUGGGGAAUAUUGCACAAUGGGCGCAAGCCUGAUGCAGCAACGCCGCGUGCGGGAUGACGGCCUUCGGGUUGUAAACCGCUUUUAGUAAGGAAGAAGCCGCAAGGUGACGAUACUUGCAGAAAAAGGACCGGCUGACUACGUGCCAGCAGCAGCCGCCGUAA